rnacentral:SRP_RNA from 1 species
GCCGGGUGUGGUGGCGCACACCUGUAAUCCCAGUUACUCAGGAGGCUGAGGCAGGAGAAUUGCUUGAACCCAGGAGGUCAAGGCUGCAGUGAGCUGUGAUUGUGCCACUGCACUGCAGCCUGGGCGACAGAGUGAGACCCCAUUUCAA